UGUGUUCAUUAUACAUAGGAAAAGGAAAUACUAAAUUCACUAAUCAUGGAAAGAUGUUGGAGCAGUACCAUAGUAAGUUCUCUGUAUAGUCAAUUUGGAGUAUGACUUGCUUGUAAGUUCUCAUUAGAGGUCAUGUUUCUAGGGUGGAGGUUGCCAGCUAAAUGGCUAGCUCAUAGCUGCAAACCUACCCUGCUUGGCGUUUAGGGGUAGAUUUUAUUUGCUUCUGAAACAAAUGCAGACAACUGUAACCAAUCAGCUGUAGUGAAUGCGACAAUGUGUGCAUGUAUGACAUAUUUGCUUGUCUUAUUCAUCGGAGGGUCACAAUCAAUACUGUUGCUGAUGUAUGCAAGAAACUCUCAUUCGAUGCUUUGUCACAUUUCAUGGUUGUUGUUCCUGUUUUGUGCAAUCUUCUUCAGUAUGAGGACCAAAAGAUUGUUCCAAAUGUAGUUGUUUGAUUAUAAUAACGGAGGCAAUCAGCGACUCUCUUAAGAUGGUGGAUCAACUUUGCGAUCAGGAUUUAUCCAGCAAGUAAUACCUCUUACAGCCUUGGCUAGUCAAACCAGCUUCAACCAGUGAAUCUAUGGUCCUCUAAUUGGGCUUCUUUGGAGACUUGCAUCUGGUUCUGCUAUGGCUGUCAAGAUGCUUUUCAGCAAAAAGAAAGGUGCAUAUUGAAGAAUAAUUGAUCAAGCUAUGACACCUCACACAUCAAAGCCUCUUCCCUUGUGGGUGGUGAUGCAAACUCCAACCAGAAGGAUAUCUAAAGGAUCAACCUGAACUUCUGAGGCGUUUUGGUAGACAUAAUUCCUGCUUUGGCGGGGGUUGUAAAUGGUGAUGCAAAUCUACAAGCCUGUGAUGGAUGAGUUUAUGUAAUCUAUUCCAACUAAGCAUGCCAGUGCGCAUCUGUGCUUAAAGUGUUCAUUUCGUAAAGGAAGAGUGAGAUAUUUUUGUAAUGACUCUUUAGAUGCUGUGAUUAUUGAGACCGUUUCCUCUUUCAAUGCUGUUGAAAGAUAUUUGUGGCUCCAUGUCAACGCCAGGAGAAAUGACGCUCAGACAACAUCUGCUGUAGAUAUGCAAGCGAAUUAAAAGAUGUAUUGAUCCUUUUCUCCCUCUUGCACACUGACGCAAUUUUUUGAUUCUGCUGAAAACUGCAUUUUCUGUCCCUCUCUUUUAACGUAGACAGGUAACUCAUGAGAAAUUAUAUAUACAUCUACAACCUUCUCAGUUGGUGUCUUCAUUUUCCUAUUCCUCUGUUUUGCUUCUGCUGCCAAAGAACAUCAUGGAUCAUGUAGUGUUGAUGAUAGCCAUCAGAAGCUGAUAUUUUCUGUAGAUGGAAGAAAGCUGGAUCUAGCAAUUCCGUAAUUACAAGUGAAGGAAGAAAAUGAUGUGGCAAAAACUUUUGGUACGAAGUGUAUAGUAUACCAUUUAAGAAGGCUGCUGAAGUAAAGGCAAGUAGUACCGAGUCCACUGCUUUGUUGGAACUCAAAUUUCUAUUUUGCAAAGUUAUUCAGGGGAGGUUUACUCUGCUCUGGUCUGCUGACAGAACUUGCGUAUAAUCUGGAGAAGGCGGAUCCGCUGUACGAGAUUAUUUUGCUUCUGGAAAUUUUGGAGUCAUAUAUAAACAAGUUAACUUGUCAUCUGACGUCUCCAGAAAGAUAACAGCUCUAGCCCCUUCUAUUUCACAAGAAGACCAAAGUCUCAGCCAGAUAUCUAGGUACCAGACCCAUGAUAAUCUAGGUAAUGAUUGGCAGCUUGUGCGAGUUAACCCAACCUUCAGCAACAGUGAUUUAACCAUGGAAGAAGCUGAAAAAGUUUCGAUUGCAGAGAAUCCCAGCCACCCUGCUGCUGCUGGAGAUCAAUCAAGCUAUGCAGAUCACUCUAAAACUUUUUAUACUAGUGUCUCAAUUUUAUUUUGUUCUUCAAUUCCUUCUUCGAUUCACACUGAUAUUAUAAACUCUAGUGUUUCUUAUUGUUUAUUGCGUACAUUAAGUGAUUCUGAUAGUCUUAAGGUUGUUACUGUUUUCAACCCUCCCAAGUAUAAUCUGAGAUUUCAUC